UGGUUUGGUCCGUCCUGUUUAACAUUUCCUAUAGUUAUAAUCUAAUAAAUGAUGGCCAAAAAUUAUCUAAGACAGUUUCCACCUGGUUUGAUGGAUGUGUUCUUCUUAACUAAGGGCACUUUUAGUAAACAUGAAAGACUUAUACCAAUAGCUGAAAGAUUUGGCUUGGACCCAGGAGCUGUCCUCGACAAAAGUUAGUACUUUUCCAUAUUAUAUCAAUUGAACUAGUGAUACAAUUACUGCUACUAGCCAUCUUAUUUUCUUUUUCUGUGACUGCAAGAUUGUUUAUGCUCAUACAUAUACAUAUGAGUAUCAGUAUAAUAUGCUUUUUGGUCUAGCUGCAAAAAUGGCUAAAGAGCCAUUAAGACUUCUGGUAAAGACUUUUGCCAUCCAAACCUCUCUUAUAAUAUAAAAUGACCUGGAUGAUAAGUAUGCUCAUGUUUCAGGUUAUGGAUUCGGUGAUUUCUCUCUUUCGAGUAGAUGUUACUGGAAGAGGAGAACUUGGAGAUCGCCAGCAAAAACUUGCACAUAUGCUUUCCCUUUUAAUAAAGAUUGCUGAGGAAUUCAAUGUUGCUGUCUACAUGACAAACUACGGUAAUCAUUGAUUUACCUAGUAUGAAGUAGUUAUAUGUCUUUGGGACUCUGUUAUGAAAUUACAACAUGUUUAAAGUAAUCAAUGCAUGUCCUUUUGGAGGCUUAUUUGUGCAUCUUACUGUUGUGCAGUAUAGCUGAUCCCGGUGUAUGUUGUAAUACUGCUAUUGUUCUGAUAUCAUUAUGGUGGUUGUUGUCACUGGAAAACAUUAUUUACUGAAUUUUGGUAUUGAUAUGGUUUUUCAAAUGAGAGUUUUAUUUUGGUAUUGACUGAAAUCAUGGUUUGUGUUAUGUUUUGUUUGGUUAGUAUGUGUAUAUAUGUAGACGCCAAUCCCUUGUCAAAUUAUUUCAAAUUUGAAACACAAAGAUCUCUUAAUUAUUAAAUUACUCUAUCUGAGUUCAUUGUAGUCCAAGUAGAUAGAUAGUAUCAAAGAUGAAAAUGUUGGCUCACUAUGCAAAAGAGGAAGAUGAUGAUGAAGUCCACAACUUCUUAUUAACAGCUGACAAAUUUUUUGGGCUGCAAUCUAUUUCUACAAGGUCGAGACCCAAAGACACCAUCCUCGUCGUGAUGAGGAUGGUAAUAUUGAUGAAAAUGAGCAAGAGAAGGAUACAAAUUUGUGUAUUAGGAAUUUCACAUUUC